UACGAGAGGCCCAAACGUUAUUCGGAAUUACUGGGCUUAAAGAGUCCGUAGGCGGCGCAGAAAGUAGGGUGUGAAAGCCCUCGGCUCAACCGAGGAAUUGCGCUCUAAACUACUGUGCUUGAGGAACCUAGAGGUGAGCGGAACUGAUGGUGGAGCGGUGAAAUGCGUUGAUAUCGAUAGGAACUCCGGUGGCGAAGGCGGCACACUGGACCACCACUGACGCUGAGGCACGAAAGCGUGGGGAGCAAACAGG
rnacentral:rRNA from 1 species